rnacentral:lncRNA from 1 species
GGACUUUUUGGGGGUUUUGGGUGGUUGGGGAUUUGGGGGCAUCAGGGGGAUUUGGGGGCAUUGGGGAGAUUUGGGAUUUGGGGACAUUUUGGGGACGUUUUGGGGGAUUUGGGGACAUUUGAGGGUUCGGGGACUUUGGGGAUGUUUGGGGAAAUUUGGGGGAUUUGGGGACACUGAGGGGAUUUGAGGGAUUUGGGGACAUCGGGGAGAUUUGGGAACAUUUGGGGACAUCGAAGACAUCGGUAACAGUGAGGACAUUUGGGGUCACAGGGGAAUCACACAGGGUUACAGGUGACACACAGGUGACACGGGAGUGACACAGGUGACACACAGGGGUGACACAAAGGUGACAAAGGUGACACAAAGGUGACACAGGUGACGCACAGGUGACAGACAGGUGACACAGGUAACAGGUGACACACAGGGGUGACACAGGUGACACAGGUGACGCACAGGUGACACAGGUGACACACAGGGGUGACACAGGUGACACACAGGUGACAGACAGGUAACACAGGUAACAGUUGACACACAGGGGUGACACACAGGUGACGCACAGGUGACACAGGUGACGCACAGGGUUGACACACAGGUGACACAGGUGACGCACAGGUAACACAGGUAACAGGUGACACACAGGGGUGACACACAGGUGGACGCACAGGGGUGACACACAGGUGACACAGGUGACGCACAGGUGACACAGGUGCCAGCGUUACCUUCUUGCGCCGGGGCUCUCCCUUGGCCAGGCAGGAGCGUGGCAGCACCAGGUACCCCCCGAUCACCUGGAUCUGCUCGGCCGUGGGGUAGCGCUUCUUGGGGGGCUCGGCCACGCCCCCGGGGCCACCUGUGGGGGCCACCUGUGGGGACACCUGUGGGGACACCUGUGGGGACACCUGGGCCACCUGCAGGGGUCCCCCGCGGGGCCGGCGGCGCGGCGCGGCCGCACCGUGAUGGUGUUGCCGCUGCGGCGCUGCAGGGCGGGGUGGGGACACGGCGGGGGACACGGGGGGUCACGGCGGGGUGACACCGGCCGGGCGGCCGAGGGGACGGAGGCGGACACCUGGACGGUGGCACUGGACACUGGGACAGUGGCACUGGACGGGGACAAUGGCAAUGGAUGUGGGGACAGUGGCGCCACACGUGGGGACAGUGGCGCCACACAUGGGGACACCGCUGGACAUGGGGACAGUGGCCCCGGACACCUGGACAGUGGCACCGGACACAGGGACAGCACUGGACAUGGGGACAGUGACCCCAGGCUUGGGGACAGUGCUGGACACAGGGACAGUGACCCCAGACUUGGGGACAGAGCCACCGGACACCUGGACAGUGUCACCGGACAUGGGGACACCGCUGGACACAGGGACAGCACUGGACACGGGGACAGCGCCCCCUGCUGGUGACACCGGUGACGUCACAGGGGUAGUGGUCAGUGUGGUCACCAAAGGGGUCAACGAGGGCUUGGGCUCGUGGCCGGACACUGUCCCCGGUGUCCCCACUGACCCUUGACCUCUCCGGCCCUCCACCACUGUCCAGUUCUUGACCAUCCCCUUGACCGUCCCCUGUCCAUCCGCUGUCCCCAGGCCAGCGGUCACUCCAUGACCUUUGACCAUUCCUAUGU